UACGAAGGGGGCUAGCGUUGCUCGGAAUCACUGGGCGUAAAGCGCACGUAGGCGGCUUUUUAAGUCAGGGGUGAAAUCCUGGAGCUCAACUCCAGAACUGCCUUUGAUACUGAGAAGCUUGAGUCCGGGAGAGGUGAGUGGAACUGCGAGUGUAGAGGUGAAAUUCGUAGAUAUUCGGAAGAACACCGGUGGCGAAGGCGGCCAUCUGGCCCAUUAUUGACGCUGAGGCGCGAAAGCGUGGGGAGCAAACAGG
rnacentral:rRNA from 1 species